UAUAAAAUAGUGUACGGAGCACAUAAACUUUUGAAGUUUAUAGAUUAGGUUCAAUCCCUAAUUUUAUAA
rnacentral:tRNA from 1 species